rnacentral:rRNA from 1 species
CAGCAGCCGCGGUAAUACGUAGGUGGCAAGCGUUGUCCGGAAUUAUUGGGCGUAAAGCGCGCGCAGGUGGUUUAAUAAGUCUGAUGUGAAAGCCCCCGGCUCAACCGUGGAGGGUCAUUGGAAACUGUUAAGCUUGAGUGCAGGGGAGAAAAGUGGAAUUCCUAGUGUAGCGGUGAAAUGCGUAGUGAUUAGGAGGAACACCAGUGGCGAAGGCGGCUUUCUGGCCUGUAACUGACACUGAGGCGCGAAAGCGUGGGGAGCAAACAGGAUUAGAUACCCCCGUAGUCCCUGUCUCUUAUAC